GCCAUACACUAUAUAAGAGUAGAGAGAAAAACUAACCUCCAGGUGUUUACCAGAGUGAGCUGUCAGGAAGAUAAAAUCAACAUCAAGACUGUUUUUUGUUUUACAAUAUGGUGAGAGCAAUAGAAAAGUAAUAAUUAGCAUUUAGUGAACACCUGAGGUGAAUGCAAUCACUAGUCCCAUUUUUGCAGAUGAGCAAAGUGUAUCAUUCAGGCUACUGCCCAGCCCUUACAAAGCACCCACUGACACAGCUGACAGCAUGCAAUGCAUCACCAGGCCUCACAGCCCCACUGCCAGGUGCGGCCAGCAGCACCACCAUGUUACUGGGCCUCACAGCCCUGCUGCCAGGUGUCAUCUGCUCAUGCUUCUCUCCAGGAAACAGAGGCUACUGUGCAGGCUCCUCAGCAAACAGAUUAUGCCAUGAUGUUAUUACUAUCUCUUUCAAUAACCAUUCAGUGAAACCUGAAAUGAUAGGACUAUCAUCUGCCAGAUGGUGGCUGUAAAUGAAACAAGGAAGCUUGCCAUUAAGUGAAAACAGUAAUCAGAUCCUUCAUACAAAGGAAUCCAUAGUACUUCUGAUCAUUAAAUAUCUACUUUCUUGUUUUGAAAAUGGUCUUCAAGAUUUUUUCUAUUACAGAAAUGGACAAUUAAAAAGAUACCUGUCAGAAAACAAUUAGAAACGUAAGUUAUAAAGAAUUAGACUAUGUACAACAGCUCAUCAUACAAAUCAGUCAACUUUCUUUAAGGC
rnacentral:lncRNA from 1 species